GAUGAACGCUAGCGGGAGGCCUAAUACAUACAAGUCGAACGGUAACAGGUAGCAAUACGCUGACGAGUGGCGCACGGGUGCGUAACGCGUACACAAUCUGCCUUAUACUGGGGCAUAGCCUUUGGAAACGAAGAAUAAUUCCCCAUAACAUAUAGAAGAGGCAUCUCUUUUAUAUUAAAGCUCAGGCGGUAUAAGAUGAGUGUGCGUCCGAUUAGGUAGUUGGUGAGGUAACGGCUCACCAAGCCAACGAUCGGUAGCUGGUCUGAGAGGAUGAUCAGCCACACGGGCACUGAGACACGGGCCCGACUCCUACGGGAGGCAGCAGUAGGGAAUAUUGGACAAUGGGCGCAAGCCUGAUCCAGCCAUCCCGCGUGAAGGAUGAAGGUCCUCUGGAUUGUAAACUUCUUUUCUUCGGGAAUAAAAACUGGGGUUCUCCUCAGCUUGAAGGUACCGAAGGAAUAAGCACCGGCUAACUCCGUGCCAGCAGCCGCGGUAAU
rnacentral:rRNA from 1 species